GGGCGGGCCUCCGCGGAGGGGCGUGGCCGGGCCGGGCACGGGCUCGGCGGGGCCGCCGCCGGGCGCCUUGUCCCCGGGGCCGGGCGGGGGCGGGGAGCCCGGAGCCCUUUCCCCACAUCGCCCGUGGGCGGUCGCCGCUGCGGCUCGGCGGCUCUGGGCGCGGCGGGGAGCGGUCCCUACCUACCCCGCCCGCCUGGCCGCCCCGCACCUCCUGCCGGCUGUGCCGGUUUCGGUGCCACGGGCGGGCCCCAGGCUAGAGAGGGAGUUAGACACUUUAAAGACGUCAUUAAAAUCCCCCAGGAAAAAAUCUUCUUUACGCUUUUAAAAUUUAUUCUGAGCAAGAAAUUUUUGAUCACUAAUAUGAAGAAAAGUUAGUGUAAAACCUGAAAAUGGGUUGAGUAAAGUUGAAACCGUUCAGCUGGGAGGCAGCAGGAAUGAUCUGCAGGUGGGGCUCUGGUCUUCCACCUGCGAGUGACCUUUAUAUCAAAAUGUGUUGUGCUUUAAUGCUUGAGAAGGUAUCCGAGAUUCCAUUGGUGGAGUUUUCAGGGACGUGGUGGGAAAAUACUAAGUAGUUGGGCCUGUUUCAAACCUGAGCUUAAUUCUCUUUGGAAAUGAGGCGCGCCAAGAAGGAAAGAAAACGACAAAGGCACUGCCUUUGCCUUUGUUAAGGCACUGACUUGGCUUCAAUUUUGAUCUCGCAUUGACAGCAUGGCUGACUAAGCCAGGUUUAUUAACCUGAAAAUAGGAAGGAAAAGAGAGGAUAUGGAGAGGAGGGAGUGUUUCAUCACUAAUACAAGCACCACAUUCCAAGCUGGAUUGACAAUAGCUGCUGAUUAGCGGCUUUUCCUGUAUUUGUUUGUGGAAGACUCUACAUAUUUAAAAGACUGAUCUGCAAAGGACUUGAGUUUGCUUCUAGUUCUUCAAGAACCGUAUCUUCCUCAUUAGGCAAAUAAUAAUCAGAAGACUGGGUGUGUGUAUUUUUUUUUAAACUGCAGUGUAGUGCAGAACAACAAAAAUGCCUUAAGGAGCCAACUCAAGCAAAAAUAAACAAGUUCAGAAAUCCCUUCUUUAAAAAACAAACCUAAACAAAGGAAAACAAAACAAAAAAAAAAAACCAACACAAAAACCAACAAACUUCAAGAUAUUUGGAAAGAAGAGAUGAACAUGUUGAAGAUUCCCUGCACAGGACAACGUAGGUAGUAUCCAUUGCUGUACAGCCUGAUCACCCUCUGCACUGAUAAUAAAAAAUGAUACAUUAUUUUUGGU